rnacentral:rRNA from 1 species
UAACCUGCCCAAGAGAUCGGGAUAACACCUGGAAACAGAUGCUAAUACCGGAUAACAACAGAUGAUGCCUAUCAACUGUUUAAAAGAUGGUUCUGCUAUCACUCUUGGAUGGACCUGCGGUGCAUUAGCUAGUUGGUAGGGUAACGGCCUACCGAGGCGAUGAUGCAUAGCCGAGUUGAGAGACUGAUCGGCCACAUUGGGACUGAGACACGGCCCAAACUCCUACGGGAGGCAGCAGGA